rnacentral:rRNA from 1 species
AUACGGAGGAUGCGAGCGUUGUUCGGAAUCACUGGGCUUAAAGCGCAUGUAGGCGGACCAGCAAGUGUCUUGUGAAAGCCCUCGGCUCGACCGAGGAAUUGCUUGGCAAACUGCUGGUCUUGAGGCAGUUAGAGGCGACUGGAACCUUUGGUGGAGAGGUGAAAUUCGUAGAUAUCAAAGGGAACGCCGGUGGCGAAAGCGGGUCGCUGGGCCUGUCCUGACGCUGAGAUGCGAAAGCGUAGGUAGCGAACGGGAUUAGAAACCCCGGUAGUCC